GAGAAUUGACAAAUCAUCAUCAAUUUUAAACUCAUCCUGACCAUUGGUUUUCUGUUCUGCAUUACUAAUAUCAUCUCCAGGUGGUAUCACAUCCAAAUCUAGCCUUUUAUUUUCAAAAUAAGAGAAAAGGUUAUGAGUAGACAUGUGUGUUGCAAUAUCUGUUCCGUGCUCAACUCUCUUCCUCUUUCUCCUCUUCAUGGCCUUUUUCCUGUGCCUUGGAUGAAUAAAUGGCAACGAUUUCGAGCCUGACUCAUCCAAAGAAGCUUGAUCGAACUCCCUAUGUCUUUUCCUAUCAUGUGCUGAUAUCUCCCUAUUAUACUUUGCCUCCUGCAACUGAAGCUCUUUCAUCUUGAGUUCUGCCCAUUUACACCGCCACAUUAUGGGACGUAUAAAGUCUCUCCAGUGAGAAGUCAACUUUUUCUUCCUGCAAUAUGUAAGCAGUGAGUUGAUUUACACUGUUUGACUGUAUUUAACUCAGGCUUGCUGAAGUUACUUACUGUAUGGCCAUCAAUUCAAUCAAUCAGAAUUAAGCUUCAAAUGCAUACAAA
rnacentral:misc_RNA from 1 species